UCGCAGUGUGACGGAGGGCAUCAACAAGGAGGUCCUGGGCAUCCUGGUCUCCUACAGGGUCAAAGUGAAGCUGGUGGUCUCCCGGGGAGGGGACGUGGCGGUAGAGCUGCCCUUCGUCCUGAUGCACGCGAAGCCCCCCGAGCAGCCCUCCACGAUGCAGCCCCCAGCAGAUGAGCCAGAAUCGGACGCGCCGAUUGAUGCCAACCUGAUCGAGUUUGAACCAAAGUAAG